CUAGCUGGGCCGGGCCUCUUUUGUUCCAAGAAAUCAAAUUAAAAUUUCUUAGCUUUAUUUUUUAUUUAUUUUUUAUUUAAG
rnacentral:tRNA from 1 species